rnacentral:rRNA from 1 species
CUACGGGUGGCUGCAGUAGGGAAUAUUGCGCAAUGGCCUAACGGCUGACGCAGCAACGCCGCGUGACUGAUGAAGUCCUAAGGGGCGUAAAAGUCUGUUAGGAGGGAAGAACAGUACCGUAGAAAAUAUUUACGGUAUUUGACGGUACCUCCAGAGAAAGCACCGGCUAACUCCGUGCCAGCAGCCGCGGUAAUACGGGGGGUGCUAGCGUUGUCCGGAAUUACUGGGCGUAAAGGGUGGGCAGGCGGAUUGGUAAGUCCGGCGUGAAAGCCAUCUGCUUAACAGGUGUCACGCGUUGGAUACUGCCAAUCUUGAGUCGCGUAGAGGAAGAUGGAAUUCCUGGUGUAGCGGUGAAAUGUGUAGAUAUCAGGAAGAACACCAGUAGCGAAGGCGGUCUUCUGGACGUCGACUGACGCUGAUCCACGAAAGCGUGGGGAGCAAACAGGAUUAGAUACCCUCGUAGUC